rnacentral:lncRNA from 1 species
UCGUUCAAAUGGAACAGGCCGCCUCAAGAUGUGACUGUGAACUUAAAAGGCUGGAGAUUAUGUACCUGUAAAAGCCAUAUGAAAGUAAAAUGAAUGAGAUACAGAAACAAUCAGUAGUUUGUGAAAUAUUUAGAAAUUCUAAGGAAAACCAUGCUUGCAUGCUAAAGACGAAAUAUUUAGGGUUAUUAUGGGUGAAUAUUUUACUAAAAUAGAAGUUUACAAUGUCAUUUGCACAAUUAAAAUCAAAGAGAGCAUCAAGAUGGAUUAUAUCAAAUGCCUCGAUUGUUGCUGAGCAAGGAAUUGGUGAAUCAAUUAGCAGUAGUUCAGUAAAACGAAAACAGGAGCUAAGGUAAGACAUUGGGAAACUGUGACUUUGAAUUAGUAGGUUUUGGAUGAAAUGAAAAUUUUUUAGUUUUGAUGUGGAUGUUCAUUACUUCCCUAGUGUGGAUUCUUAGGGUCUUUCGCAAAGGUGCGAAUUCCUAGAAUCCCUCAUGUGUGGAUUUGCCUCAAGAUUUCUAUUUCUUCGAUCUCCUUUUUCAUUCUAUCUUUGUCCGUCCUGCAUCAGUUUAUCAGAAGGGGAAAAGAAAAAAACGGACUCAUAUCAAUACUUCAAACCUGCCAAAGAGCAGUUUCCAUGCUAUAUCAGUAUUCUCUAUUGUGCACGUUAGUUUUAGUAAUACUUUCCAAACGUCUAAUUAUUAAUAAGUGUUUGCUGAGUGAGAUAGGAAGGAGAGACUUUUUUCUCUCUCCUUUUUCCACAAGUGAGGCAAACAAACACAAGUUAUAAAGGUCAACCAUGCAAAUGAUCUUUUAACAUCCUAUCAAAUUCAAGCAUAAAUAUUUUUGUUGAGUCAUAGAAAAGGCAUUUUGGGUGCUUAAUAAUAGCCACUAAGCAUCUUGAUCCUAGACUAUCUGAUUAUAUUGGUCAUUGGUGAACUAGACACUGAAAUGACAUAUAAAAUGGUAUCUGCAACCCAAGAUUGUUCUGGUACCAUAUGCUCUAGAAUGUGUACUGGAAGGUUACACUUGCAGAAUGAUAUCAUUGUUUUUACUAACUGAAUUCAAUCAAAAUGUGAACAUUUUCUAUCAUAAUAAACACCAUUAGCAUAUUUCGUUAUCAUUAAGUCAAUCAUGUAUUCUUUUACAUUUUCUUCUGCAAACUUGCUCACUUUUAAGGAAAAUGAUCAAGGAAAUAAAUAGGGAAAAGUGUGAAUCACUUGACAACUAAAUUCUAUAUAUUGAAAUUUAGGUGACGGUACAAAAAACAAAGACCUUUCAAAACUUAGUCACUAGGCUUUUAGUGUUUUCAGGUACCAUUGGGAAAAACUGAUACAAUCAUGUCAACGGCAAUUAUGUCAUACCUACAGGGAAUGGAAUUUUUAGAGAUAUAAUUAUUGGGCAUAAAGCUGAUCAACCCUCCCUCUAAGGGGGCAGAAAAGGCAUAGCUGUGCUUCUCAGGCCCUAUAAGUAUGGGCUUCCUGGGAUUCCACAAUUGGUUUGAACUCACAUUAACUCAUUCACGGAUCUUUGACUUUACUGGCUUCCUGUUCACUCCCUUUCUUAUAAAUUUUGUUAAGUUGAAUGGCUGGUACUCUCAUUAUUCUAGCUAAUGAACUGCUAAUCCUGCCUCAUCAUGGGUCACUAUGUUAAUAGUUUUCAGAGUCCCAGUCUAGGGUAGACUCCAACAUGAGUCUAGGGUAGACUCCUAUGCACACAUAUAUUGUGCAUGAUGAUAAAAUGAAUGCGAUACAAUUUCCAGAGCUUCAACUCCUUCUUGGUCUAUAGAUGGAGGCCCUAACCCUAGCUUAAUGCCCAGACUCUUAUUCUUUCUAGUUCUUCUGCUAGUCACACCACAGCUAUACCUCAUUAGUCGCUUUAGGUUGAUUUCUGAAGCUGCAUUUUGGGGGAGUAAAAGUGAGAGUAAAAGCAAUUGGUAAAUCACAAGUUUGAUAGAUGUUAAGUGGUUUAAAUAGAGUCAAAGCUGAAAUGAGUGCCUAUUUAACUAACAGCAAGUUAUCAUGGCUUUGGUUACUUUUCAAUCAAACGUUAAAAUCUCUCUUCUGGGAUUGGGGUGUUUCAAGCUUUUGAACUUUUCUCAAUCCAUUACCCGCCUCCAUUGCCAAACUCUAAAAUCUGACAUAUACAAUACAUUAACCUUAGAAAUUUGGAAACUAUAGAAAGGCAGAUAUUCAGGCUUUCAUCUUUUCUUUUAAAGCAACAAUUUGCUCUUGAUGGUUAUAGUAGCUUCAAAAUAAAGAACAAAAAGUGUUUCAAAAUUUUCAUACAAAGGAUAUUUCACAAUCUUCAUACUGCAAGUCCAUCAUUUAUAAAACUGACACGAAGAUAAGAAAAAAGAUAGUUGACAUCAACAUAGCUUUAAAUUAACACGAGUCUAGAAAAUGAAAACUUCAAAGACUUGCCAAGAAAAUUUUAAACAACUGCAAAUUACAUUACCAAUAAUCUUCGAAACAGCAGCAUAUUAUACCAAAUGCCUUUAAGAAGUAGAGGCAAAAGCUAAGAACGACACGUGUAACAUGUGCCCAAAUUGCAGACCCAAUUCCAUGCACAUUAGCCACGUAAACUCCCAUGUAGCAUGUGCACAUACUUUGCACAAAAAACUUCAUACACGGAAAGCAGCAGUAGAACCAUUAUACACAAAACCGUGGACUACUACCCGGUCAUGCCUUUGAUGACUCAAUAACAAGAACAAUGUCUGUUAAAGAGUUUGGGCAAUGCAAAUCAGGCAUAAAAGGCACUCAACAAUUCAUACCAUUAUAAUUUUCCAUGUAAAGAAAGAAGUGAAUCAACCUAUCAGGGAAUCCCAACAUGUUUCACAGUUUUACAACUUGUAUUAAGCUUCAAGUGAAUAUAAAAAAUGACACACACAGUAGAAGAAGCCAAAUCACCAUACAUCUCCAGAACAUGCAUAGAACUGAAAUCUUGUAAUUAACUCCCGAUAAUAAUAAACGUUGGAAUACAUAAAACUAUGUGAUAACCAUAUCAGAACUCCCUAAGAUAAUCACUACCAACUUAAACCUACCUUCCUUUAUGGCACAAAAACAUACCCUGGGACAAGUAAAUCCUAUCUAUGGUACCCCUUUUCCUUAAUCAUAUUGAUACACCUGUCCGAAUUUCUCUGUCCUUAAAUAGUAACAAUUAUACAAAGUUUUAAUAGAUAACAAUUAUACAGAGUAGUAGUCCAAUAUGUCGAAUAAUUUUUAAAACCAACCAAGAAAUAACACAAGUUCAUAUUGCUAAUUUCAAAUAUGUUGUUGGGCUAGUUUCCUAAUAGCUUAAGCUUUUGAACCUACUUGUGCUGAAACAUAUCUGUAAACCUCUUGUUCCAGGAGGUUCUGGGUUCAAGUCUUUCAACACUUGUUAUUGUUGUCAUUGAGCACUCUUAUUCUGCUUAUGUUCGUGCACUUUUUCAAGGUUGUCAGUUUGUCUCUCCACAUGCAAAACAGGGUCACACGCUAGAGAAGUUUUUUUUUGCUGUUCAAAACCCAGUAAACUGGAAAGCCGGUUUGAACCGGGUGGAUUGGUUUGAUUCUUUGUUGAACCGGUUUGGUUCUGGUUCUUUAAAUUUGAAAAUCGUACAUUACACUUGAGUUAGCGGACAUCAGCCUAGGAUUUCUAUUUCAAACCAGACUGAACCAUAAACAUUUUGUCGAUACAUAUUCCAUAAUUUCUAUUGGUUACCCCAGCAUACUUAACAUAGACCUGCCCCCACCAAAACAACCAGUCCAUAUAUAUAUAUAUAUAUAUAUAUAUAUAUUUUUUUUUUUUUUUCUUAACCAGGCAUCUAUCUUUUUCCCCCUAACCUUCAAAAUAUCUUAAUCUUUUUUCUUAACCCUAAGAGAACCAUAGCGGCAGUUGCUCACUGCUGUGUUCUGAGCAGGGUUCAAAUUAUCACUCGAUACGUUAUGUAUCAAGAUUUUGUCCCUCCGAUAUUGAUAUUUUAGUAAAUCUCAGCCGAUAUUGUCGGCCAUAUCACCGAUACCGAUAUUGCAAUUUAAAACCCUCGUUCUGAGUGUUCUCUCUCACACUCCCAAUCAUAAUUCCUCUGAUUCUCAGCCUCAAUCAACAAUCAAGACACUUAUCUAUGUUCCAUUAACGCAAAUUGAACUCUGAAUUACGCUCUCUCUCUCUCUCUCUCUCUCCUCUCCUCCCAGAUUGAUUAGACUCUUGAUCCCACACCACAUCACACUUUCCGAUUGUUGGUAUGAAUAUUGAAUACUAUAGAAUUAUGCUGAGAAAUAUGGUGAUUGUGGGAAGAAAACUUAGCAACUGAAAAUCCCAUUCUGAAGCAUUUUUAAGGUUCGACUUGGUUUGUUUCCAUGUUUUUGUACAGUUCAGUUUCGUCCCCAAAAUUCAAGAACCGUAGGGAUCUGUUCAGUCCUUUAGCCUUUCUCAAAACCGAUCCAACCCGGACCGUGGACACCCCUAAGCUUGAUUUACAUUGGUCGGCUCAUUUCCUAAAAAAGUUAAGCUUUCGAAGAAUUAGCAAUCUAACCCAUUUGCCUAGACUUAGUAGUAAGUGAAGAAAUAUAUAACCAAAUAAUGAGAUGGAAGAACAAUACAAAGAGGAGGCGCAAGAAGUUUAUGUGGUUCGACCAUAAUGGGUUACGUCCACGGGAGAAGAUUGAUACCACUAUAUUCCACUACUAAAAUAAUUACAUGAUUACAAUCAUAAUCAUAUGCCUGUAGAAUAGAAAUAGGAGUGAUUCAAUAUCUCUCUCUCAAAUGAAAUAAAAUUUUUUUGAGAAACCAACUUCUUCUAAGUUGCAAAAUGACAAGCAAAAUCCUCUAACAAGAUUUUGCAUCCAAUUCAUCAAUAAAGUGACUACUUCCAGUACAUUGCUCUCUUUAGGAAAUGUGGAAAAAGAAGUCUGCAAGAGAUGAAAAUGUAAUCUACACGUGGUCACAAACUAGCAUCAAAAGUCGCAACAUACUUGCUAGAACAAAGAAGUCACUCUGAGAAGAACAACAACAAAUAAAUGAUGGAGGGAAAUCUAUUUCAUAAGAUACAGAAAAGGCUGGAACAGAAGAUGAAGUAGAAGGUUGUAAAAGAGUUGUUGGGGCUAGAUCCGAUCGACCCGCUCUAACACCACGUAGAAAUAUAAAAAUAAAGUUUAUGUGAUUUGGCCAUAAUGGCCUAGCACACGGGACAAGAUCGGCCCCACUAAUAGUCCACUACUCAAAUAGUGACAUGAUUACAAUCAUAUCUACAAACUUGUAGAAAUAGAUAUAGGAGUGAUUUGACAUGCUUAUCCUAAUUGAUCAAUCUCUAGAAAUAGGAUAGAAUCUUGAAUAUCAUUGCCAAUACUUGUCUCCACCAGUAAGCUUAUCAGUGGAUGUGCUCACAAGUAACUUAUCCUCCUUCUUCAUUAUGUUUUAGAAUAAAUUUUCCCUUCUAAGGAACCAGUUAGUCAUGGUCCAGCUAGUAAACAAGGAUACUUGACAAGAUAACAAACACCAAUAUGCACCUCUUUAGCUCAAAGAUGACAUGUGUAUCUUUUCCUAUGUUUCUUGUCAUCAAAUACUGAGAAAGACCUAAUUCAAUUAGUCUGUGUCAUUUCUGUCUGGCCAGUAAAACAAAGGGAACCAAACUAUUGCCGUGCGGAGGGGGUGGUGACUCAAGGGUCAGGGUUGGGACAUGCUACUUGAUUCCUUUUUAGCCAUUCUACUCUGUCAAGGAUUGUUGCGACGACUAUAUGGUAUCUAUAACUGUAAAUCAGGACUAAUUGUUGUAGACGAGCUCUUCUAAAAUAUAAACUUCCUAACAAAAUACUAUUUUAAGAUAAUAAGAAUAAAAAAAAGUUCUAAAAAUUAAGCCCAUCAAAGGGUUUUAAAUGUUGUUGUUGCUCGAUACAUGUGCUAUUGUAUGUCUCACUAGAUUUUUGAUGCAUGAUUUCCCGUUUCAAAAUUGUAUCCUACUAUGCAAGCUCUUUCAUUCACUGGGCAGUUGACUCAAACAAUCAUUUAUUACUUUUAAGCUUGCAGUGGAAGGUAGAGGUGGACGCUAGAUGAUUUGGGGUCUUCUUAUGCAAUGACUUCCUUAGGAUGUUCAUACGUGCCGUCAUAUGUUGUCCAUAUUAUUGAGAUCAAGUGUACAGAUGUUGGAUUUUUGGUUAUUGGUACAUUAUUCUAUCAUUAGACGUUCCUUUUCUGUAUGGAUUGUUUGUGUCCCGCGACUUUGUCACUUGAGUAUUCGUUUAUCUUUCCAAUAACAUUUGAUGGUGAGGCUUCCUUGUUCCAUGUGUUGAGGAUCCUGUGGUUGUUGGCUGGUCAUGGUCUGAAUCUGGGCUGUGGCAUACACCCUACCCCUUUUCUAUCCCUUCUCUUAUCACUUUUACUUCUUCUUGUUCUAUGAAAACAAAAGGCCCAAGAAUUGUUUUGCACUGUCCCUAACUCUUUCCUACCUCUUUAUUCACUUUCUUUCACACCAUACAAUAAAAAUAAUGAGCACCAUGUCUUUGAAGAAAAUCAUGAACCAAUGUUCACAUAAUUAAUAACUUGUUCAACAUCCAAAAUUCCCUAUCAUCAUCUCUAUACCUUUUGAUCCACAAAAUAUGAUUCACCAAAUCUGCCCACACAUCAGCAAUUUGCUUGAAUAAAAAAUAAUGAAUCAAUUUCCAGACUUGUACACAAACUUCAAUCGAAACAGACAUGUCAACCAGACAAGUAACAUACCAAACAAAGAUCACUAAUAGAGCUGGAAUUCUCUAUUUCCAGUACCUCUAAAGGGAUUCCUACCAUAAAAAAUUUAAAAUACAAAAUUAGCAUAAGUGCAUACUUCAACCUAUAAUUAUCUCAGGCUCAAUCUUGCCCUAGUGUAUAAAAAUUUAGAGUCUCCUUUUCAUAAUACAGGUAAUAAUGAAUCAAGUUCACAUUUCUAGUAAAUUCAUAAACCUCAAAUAUUUUCCAUCUUAGAGGGAAUUUAAAUUUUGUGAUAUCUAAUGUUUUAUCUUACAAAAAACAUUAUAGUAACAGUGGAGGUGCACAGGUAGCACACAUAAAUUCAAUCAACACAAAUUACAAGACAUAAAGACAAAGUCCGAAUGGCUCUCUGAAUUCUAAAGUUUAAAGUCAAAGUCAAAUUCCCACUAACACUGACAUAUACUUCAACAAAAUCAAUCAAAUAUGUGAAACUUAAAUAGUUUAAUUUAGAGAAAACAAGAUAUACUUAACUCGCGCAAACACACAUGCGCACAUAAAAGCGCAACCCAUCAUCAAAUAUGGCAUUAUAUUAGGGCAUCGCCAAUCCUUCAUCAAAUCCUUCAUCAAAUUUUAAAAUUGAUUAAAAAAAUGCUAAAAGAGAGCUCCUAUCCUUUUAUCAAACUCAUAUCAGAUAAACGCGGACCAAAAUUUUCACCAGAUUAAGGAUGAAUUAAUUCCUUCAUCAAAUGUAAAACGGUCAUUUUUCAUUAAAAUUUGGUGAAAUUUAAAAAAGAGCAAGGACUGGAGUGAGUUUUUUACCUCAAGAUUGGUUAAAAGAGGUUUUGGGGAUAAGUUGGUAUUUUUUGAGAAAGAUUGGUGAAUGAAAAGAGCAAUGAUUGGAAUGCACCAUAUCACAUGAAGCUUUUUGUCAAUUUCGUACACAUAUAACUACUGCGUCUAAUUUCCCAACAGAACCAAGUAUCAGCAGAAAAAAUUCAGAGCAAAACAAUACAAAAUUCUAACAAAUCGAACGCAUCCAAAGCAUUGAAUCAAAUGCACCAGAACUAAAAUUCCUUUCCAAUGUAAAAAAAAAUAAAAAAAUACACUCAUUCCAAUGAAAGAGAUUGAAAAGGAAGAACUUACAAAGCAGAUCUACGCAAUUGUAUAUAUGCAUACACAAAUACAUAUUCCGCAAGAUCAAUCUGUGUUCUCUCUCCACUCUCUCUCUCUAUGAUCUGAAAACAAGCAGGUUUAUGGUUGGGAGGGAGAAAGUGGGAACAAAAUGCCGAAGCAGAUUCGUUGGCGAAUGGAAUUUGGGGUUCCCGAGAAGAGCGCGUGGGGAGUAAUAUUUUUCGGU